rnacentral:rRNA from 1 species
GCCAGGAGCCAUAUCACUCAGCAACUCACAACUGGCAGCCCACUGAAGCUCAGCAGGUGUGAGCCUGGUCAGUACCUGGAUGGGAGACUCCUGGGAAAAACUAAGGUUGCUGUUGGAA